AUUUUAAUGUUGACUGCCUAAGAUGAUGCCUGCUAGGUUUUAUUUUUGUCUGCUUACUUUUGGGAUUCUAUUGACCGUGUGUCAAGUUGACGGAAAUGUGGAAGAUAACCCUAGUCAAGGUAUGUGUAGAACACCCCCCCCCCCCUCCCCGGAGUGUAACAUUUAUUAGCAGUUUUUAAUUGUCUUGAAUAACGAUUGAUAAUUCCUUUUAUCGAUAAUCAAAAUUACCAAUUCCUCUAAUAUCUGAAAUAUGCCUUUGACAAUACAUUGCAUUACAGAUUGUCUUUUAAUUAUUAUAUAUUUGAAACUGGCCCGAUAAUUUGCAUUACGUACUUUCUUCAUAUCUCUCUCUUCAAUAUCAAACUACUCAAGCAAUGUGGUCGCUCGACGAAUAUAUAGCAAAACACUUACUUUAUUUAUUACCUGCUGUCUACGGGAACACACAGUCGUCAUUUUAGGAAUUUAUAAAACUCGACAGAUUGCAAUAGCAAGUGGCAAAGCUAACAUAUAGUGAAACACAAAUACGAAACAUUUACUAUAACUAUUCAUCUACACAAUGAGGUCGAAAACAAGCAUCAGGUUUCAUAUUGUAUCAUUAAUAUAACAAAUAACAAUUGAGAUUUCAAACCAGUUUGUUUUAAUUAAUGUUUUUAAUUAGAUAGCAUAAGGUCAAUCCUUAACAGAAGAGAGGAUGUGGAGUCAAGGAUGGGAGGUAUCUUUCCUGUGGGUCCACUCGUUCCCCGUUUUCCCGGACGAAGACCUGGACGACGUAUAAUAGCCGGAAGACUCGGCAGGGAAACUUUGAUAGAAAAGGCCAUUUUACAGUGAUUUUUUUGGAUGUUGGACUUCAUCUAGAGUUUAAUUUGGAUACAUUCGGCAAUAUACUUCAGAACAUGCCUUAUUUAAUGACUGUGGGUUAUAGUCUCUUGUUCGUGAAUAACUAUGUAUACUUAAAGCCUAUUUGGCAAUUCGUGUCUUAAGUUUUCAUUUCUUUAGUUUGAUUUUAUAUUUAUCAAUAAAUAAUUUAAUUCUGGUUGU
rnacentral:misc_RNA from 1 species